rnacentral:tRNA from 1 species
CAAAUUAAAGCUUUAUAAGCAUUUCAUUUACAUUGAAAAGAUAUUAAAAUAUGAUUUAGUUAAUUUGA